rnacentral:rRNA from 1 species
ACUAAGCGUACACGGUGGAUGCCCUGGCAGUCAGAGGCGAUGAAGGACGUGCUAAUCUGCGAUAAGCGUCGGUAAGGUGAUAUGAACCGUUAUAACCGGCGAUUUCCGAAUGGGGAAACCCAGUGUGAUUCGUCACACUAUCAUUAACUGAAUCCAUAGGUUAAUGAGGCGAACCGGGGGAACUGAAACAUCUAAGUACCCCGAGGAAAAGAAAUCAACCGAGAUUCCCCCAGUAGCGGCGAGCGAACGGGGAGCAGCCCAGAGCCUGAAUCAGUGUGUGUGUUAGUGGAAGCGUCUGGAAAGGCGCGCGAUACAGGGUGACAGCCCCGUACACAAAAAUGCACAUGCUGUGAGCUCGAUGAGUAGGGCGGGACACGUGGUAUCCUGUCUGAAUAUGGGGGGACCAUCCUCCAAGGCUAAAUACUCCUGACUGACCGAUAGUGAACCAGUACCGUGAGGGAAAGGCGAAAAGAACCCCGGCGAGGGGAGUGAAAAAGAACCUGAAACCGUGUACGUACAAGCAGUGGGAGCACAGAGCAAUCUGUGUGACUGCGUACCUUUUGUAUAAUGGGUCAGCGACUUAUAUUCUGUAGCAAGGUUAACCGAAUAGGGGAGCCGAAGGGAAACCGAGUCUUAACUGGGCGUUAAGUUGCAGGGUAUAGACCCGAAACCCGGUGAUCUAGCCAUGGGCAGGUUGAAGGUUGGGUAACACUAACUGGAGGACCGAACCGACUAAUGUUGAAAAAUUAGCGGAUGACUUGUGGCUGGGGGUGAAAGGCCAAUCAAACCGGGAGAUAGCUGGUUCUCCCCGAAAGCUAUUUAGGUAGCGCCUCGUGAAUUCAUCUCCGGGGGUAGAGCACUGUUUCGGCAAGGGGGUCAUCCCGACUUACCAACCCGAUGCAAACUGCGAAUACCGGAGAAUGUUAUCACGGGAGACACACGGCGGGUGCUAACGUCCGUCGUGAAGAGGGAAACAACCCAGACCGCCAGCUAAGGUCCCAAAGUCAUGGUUAAGUGGGAAACGAUGUGGGAAGGCCCAGACAGCCAGGAUGUUGGCUUAGAAGCAGCCAUCAUUUAAAGAAAGCGUAAUAGCUCACUGGUCGAGUCGGCCUGCGCGGAAGAUGUAACGGGGCUAAACCAUGCACCGAAGCUGCGGCAGCGACACUAUGUGUUGUUGGGUAGGGGAGCGUUCUGUAAGCCUGUGAAGGUGUACUGUGAGGUAUGCUGGAGGUAUCAGAAGUGCGAAUGCUGACAUAAGUAACGAUAAAGCGGGUGAAAAGCCCGCUCGCCGGAAGACCAAGGGUUCCUGUCCAACGUUAAUCGGGGCAGGGUGAGUCGACCCCUAAGGCGAGGCCGAAAGGCGUAGUCGAUGGGAAACAGGUUAAUAUUCCUGUACUUGGUGUUACUGCGAAGGGGGGACGGAGAAGGCUAUGUUGGCCGGGCGACGGUUGUCCCGGUUUAAGCGUGUAGGCUGGUUUUCCAGGCAAAUCCGGAAAAUCAAGGCUGAGGCGUGAUGACGAGGCACUACGGUGCUGAAGCAACAAAUGCCCUGCUUCCAGGAAAAGCCUCUAAGCAUCAGGUAACAUCAAAUCGUACCCCAAACCGACACAGGUGGUCAGGUAGAGAAUACCAAGGCGCUUGAGAGAACUCGGGUGAAGGAACUAGGCAAAAUGGUGCCGUAACUUCGGGAGAAGGCACGCUGAUAUGUAGGUGAAGUCCCUCGCGGAUGGAGCUGAAAUCAGUCGAAGAUACCAGCUGGCUGCAACUGUUUAUUAAAAACACAGCACUGUGCAAACACGAAAGUGGACGUAUACGGUGUGACGCCUGCCCGGUGCCGGAAGGUUAAUUGAUGGGGUUAGCGCAAGCGAAGCUCUUGAUCGAAGCCCCGGUAAACGGCGGCCGUAACUAUAACGGUCCUAAGGUAGCGAAAUUCCUUGUCGGGUAAGUUCCGACCUGCACGAAUGGCGUAAUGAUGGCCAGGCUGUCUCCACCCGAGACUCAGUGAAAUUGAACUCGCUGUGAAGAUGCAGUGUACCCGCGGCAAGACGGAAAGACCCCGUGAACCUUUACUAUAGCUUGACACUGAACAUUGAGCCUUGAUGUGUAGGAUAGGUGGGAGGCUUUGAAGUGUGGACGCCAGUCUGCAUGGAGCCGACCUUGAAAUACCACCCUUUAAUGUUUGAUGUUCUAACGUUGACCCGUAAUCCGGGUUGCGGACAGUGUCUGGUGGGUAGUUUGACUGGGGCGGUCUCCUCCUAAAGAGUAACGGAGGAGCACGAAGGUUGGCUAAUCCUGGUCGGACAUCAGGAGGUUAGUGCAAUGGCAUAAGCCAGCUUGACUGCGAGCGUGACGGCGCGAGCAGGUGCGAAAGCAGGUCAUAGUGAUCCGGUGGUUCUGAAUGGAAGGGCCAUCGCUCAACGGAUAAAAGGUACUCCGGGGAUAACAGGCUGAUACCGCCCAAGAGUUCAUAUCGACGGCGGUGUUUGGCACCUCGAUGUCGGCUCAUCACAUCCUGGGGCUGAAGUAGGUCCCAAGGGUAUGGCUGUUCGCCAUUUAAAGUGGUACGCGAGCUGGGUUUAGAACGUCGUGAGACAGUUCGGUCCCUAUCUGCCGUGGGCGCUGGAGAACUGAGGGGGGCUGCUCCUAGUACGAGAGGACCGGAGUGGACGCAUCACUGGUGUUCGGGUUGUCAUGCCAAUGGCACUGCCCGGUAGCUAAAUGCGGAAGAGAUAAGUGCUGAAAGCAUCUAAGCACGAAACUUGCCCCGAGAUGAGUUCUCCCUGACUCCUUGAGAGUCCUGAAGGAACGUUGAAGACGACGACGUUGAUAGGCCGGGUGUGUAAGCGCAGCGAUGCGUUGAGCUAACCGGUACUAAUGAACCGUGAGGCUUAACC